UGAACACACCGCGGGAGCUCGCGCCACAAGCGGGCUGAGAGGGCGGCUGGAUCGACUUUUCGAUCCGGUGCCGCCGACCGCCUGAACCUGUACUGGGUAAUGCCAGCGUAGGGAGGAAUCGCCAUGACGUC
rnacentral:ncRNA from 2 species